CGAAAGCCUGACGGAGCAACGCCGCGUGUGGGAAGAAGGCUCUCGGGCUGUCAACCACUUUUCUCAGGGAAGAAGUUCUGACGGUACCUGAGGAAUCAGCCUCGGCUAACUCCGUGCCAGCAGCCGCGGUAAUACGGAGGAGGCAAGCGUUAUCCGGAAUUAUUGGGCGUAAAGCGUCCGUAGGGGGCUCGUCAAGUCUGCUGUCAAAGCUCGGAGCUCAACUCCGACCCGGCAGUGGAAACUGGUGCGCUAGAGGGCGACAGGGGUAGAGGGAAUUCCCAGUGUAGCGGUGAAAUGCGUAGAGAUUGGGAAGAACACCGGUGGCGAAAGCGCUCUACUGGGUCGCACCUGACCCUCAGGGACGAAAGCUAAGGUAGCG
rnacentral:rRNA from 1 species